GAGUGGCGAACUGGUGAGUAACACGUGGGAAACCUGCCCAGAAGCGGGGGAUAACACCUGGAAACAGAUGCUAAUACCGCAUAACAACUUGGACCGCAUGGUCCGAGUUUGAAAGAUGGCUUCGGCUAUCACUUUUGGAUGGUCCCGCGGCGUAUUAGCUAGAUGGUGGGGUAACGGCUCACCAUGGCAAUGAUACGUAGCCGACCUGAGAGGGUAAUCGGCCACAUUGGGACUGAGACACGGCCCAAACUCCUACGGGAGGCAGCAGUAGGGAAUCUUCCACAAUGGACGAAAGUCUGAUGGAGCAACGCCGCGUGAGUGAAGAAGGGUUUCGGCUCGUAAAACUCUGUUGUUAAAGAAGAACAUAUCUGAGAGUAACUGUUCAGGUAUUGACGGUAUUUAACCAGAAAGCCACGGCUAACUACGUGCCAGCAGCCGCGGUAAUACGUAGGUGGCAAGCGUUGUCCGGAUUUAUUGGGCGUAAAGCGAGCGCAGGCGGUUUUUUAAGUCUGAUGUGAAAGCCUUCGGCUCAACCGAAGAAGUGCAUCGGAAACUGGGAAACUUGAGUGCAGAAGAGGACAGUGGAACUCCAUGUGUAGCGGUGAAAUGCGUAGAUAUAUGGAAGAACACCAGUGGCGAAGGCGGCUGUCUGGUCUGUAACUGACGCUGAGGCUCGAAA
rnacentral:rRNA from 1 species